GACGAACGCUGGCGGCGUGCUUAACACAUGCAAGUCGAACGGAAAGGCCUCUUUCGGGGGGUACUCGAGUGGCGAACGGGUGAGUAACACGUGAGUAACCUGCCCUUGACUUUGGGAUAACUUCAGGAAACUGGGGCUAAUACCGGAUAGGAGCUCCUACUGCAUGGUGGGGGUUGGAAAGUUUCGGCGGUUGGGGAUGGACUCGCGGCUUAUCAGCUUGUUGGUGGGGUAGUGGCUUACCAAGGCUUUGACGGGUAGCCGGCCUGAGAGGGUGACCGGCCACAGUGGGACUGAGAUACGGCCCAGACUCCUACGGGAGGCAGCAGUGGGGAAUAUUGCACAAUGGGUGGAAGCCUGAUGCAGCAACGCCGUGUGCGGGAUGACGGCCUUCGGGUUGUAAACCGCUUUCGCUCAUGACGAAGCUUUGUGUGACGGUAGUGGGUAAAGAAGCACCGGCUAACUACGUG
rnacentral:rRNA from 1 species